GUUUCUGUAGUUAAGAGUUUGUUAACGGCGGCUUUUCAGGCCGCAGACCUUGGGUACAGUCCAAGUAGAAACU
rnacentral:tRNA from 1 species